CCUACGGAGACGCGAAGCGAGCGGGGGCAAAGUUUCAGUGUUUUGCAUUGAUGUGUACGGCACGAAAAUUAAAACAAGAAGAAUGCCGGCUCAUUGUGCGGCAUACAGUUGCACACUACAUCGGACAAUCAAGACAAGGAAACUUGGAAUAAUUUUCCACAGAGAGGAACAGGCCGACAUUCCCACAUCACUGGACGCAGUGUACAUAAUCAAAGAAUUGAAAGAUUAUGGCGAGAUGUGUAUGGAAAUGUCCUUGACUUGUUCCGCACAAUAUUUCUCAAUUUGGAAGUGGAAGGGUUUCUAAACCCUGAAAAUGAACUGGAGUUAUUCACUCUCCACUGGACCUACGUCCCACAGCUGCAGCAGCAUCUUCAGGCAUUCAAGGAAGCCUGGACUCACCAUAGUUUGAGGACAGAGAGAGGUCAAUCCCCCAUGCAACUGUGGCUUAGUCAGCCACGUGAGGGAAAUGCUGCUGAUCCAGUUGAGGUUGCUGCUGAUUAUGGGAUAGACUGGACAGGACCUCACACCCCAUACCCAGAAGGUGUCACUGUACCUGAUGCACAACUACCCCGGCAGCUUACACAGGCUGAAGUUACAUCAUUGCCUGAUCCGGCCGUCCCUUUUUCUGCUGCACUAUGGGCAUACAUGGAUACAGUGUAUAUUCUUAAGGACAUUUUUUCAACAAACCUAGACAUAUCACAACUCACCUUAACAGAAUCAGAAUGAAACAAACAAGACUCAAAAGAAUGCUGCAAAUUUUUGUUGCAUAAUUUUAUGACCAGUUGUGAAUUUCAAAUAAAUGCCUUUGAAAACAACAAUGUACAAAGACACAGCAAAGGGAUAUAAAACUGCUUUUAUUGCAUGCUGAAUAGUUUGACAGCUUUUAAAAGCAUUAGAACAAUGUGCCAAUAAAAAGGUUUUUUAAUAGAACUGACAA